rnacentral:rRNA from 1 species
CCUACGGGAGGCAGCAGUGGGGAAUAUUGCACAAUGGGCGAAACCCUGAUGCAGCGACGCCGCGUGAGUGAAGACGUAUCUCGGUAUGUUAAGCUCUAUCAGCAGGGAAGAAAAUGACGGUACCUGUUUAAGAAGCCCCGGCUAACUACGUGCCAGCAGCCGCGGGAAUACGUAGGGGGCCAGCGUAAUCCGGAUUUACGGGGUGUAAAGGGAGCGUAGUCGGCGGCACAAGUUUGGAGUGAAAUGCCGGGGCUUAACCCCGGAACUGCUUUGGAAACUGUGCAGCUAGAGUGCAGGAGAGGUAAGUGGAAUUCCUGGUGUAGCGGUGAAAUGCGUAGAUAUUAGGAAGAACACCAGUGGCGAAGGCAGCUUACUGGACUGUAACUGACGUUGAGGCUCGAAAGCGUGGGGAGCAAACAGGAUUAGAUACCCCUGUAGUC